GACGAACGCUGGCGGCGUGCUUAACACAUGCAAGUCGAACGGAAAGGCCCUGCUUUUGUGGGGUGCUCGAGUGGCGAACGGGUGAGUAACACGUGAAUAACCUGCCCUUGACUUUGGGAUAACUUCAGGAAACUAGGGCUAAUACCGGAUAGGAGCUCCUGCUGCAUGGUGGGGGUUGGAAAGUUUCGGCGGUUGGGGAUGGACUCGCGGCUUAUCAGCUUGUUGGUGGGGUAGUGGCUUACCAAGGCUUUGACGGGUAGCCGGCCUGAGAGGGUGACCGGCCACAUUGGGACUGAGAUACGGCCCAGACUCCUACGGGAGGCAGCAGUGGGGAAUAUUGCACAAUGGGCGGAAGCCUGAUGCAGCAACGCCGCGUGCGGGAUGACGGCCUUCGGGUUGUAAACCGCUUUCGCCUGUGACGAAGCGUGAGUGACGGUAAUGGGUAAAGAAGCACCGGCUAACUACGUG
rnacentral:rRNA from 1 species